CAGUCGCCGCGGUAAUACGUAGGGUGCAAGCGUUAAUCGGAAUUACUGGGCGUAAAGCGUGCGCAGGCGGUUUUGUAAGACAGGCGUGAAAUCCCCGGGCUCAACCUGGGAAUGGCGCUUGUGACUGCAAAGCUAGAGUGCGGCAGAGGGGGAUGGAAUUCCGCGUGUAGCAGUGAAAUGCGUAGAUAUGCGGAGGAACACCGAUGGCGAAGGCAAUCCCCUGGGCCUGCACUGACGCUCAUGCACGAAAGCGUGGGGAGCAAACAGGAUUAGAUACCCCGGUAGUCCCUGUCUCUUAUAC
rnacentral:rRNA from 1 species